rnacentral:rRNA from 1 species
GACGAACGCUGGCGGCGUGCUUAACACAUGCAAGUCGAACGGUGAAGCACCUUCCUUUUGGUGUGUGUGGAUGAGUGGCGAACGGGUGAGUAACACGUGAGUAACCUGCCCCCUUCUUCUGGAUAACCGCAUGAAAGUGUGGCUAAUACGGGAUAUUCUUUGCCUGCUGCAUGGUGUGUGUGGGAAAGAUGCGCGGGUGGGUGUUUUUGGUUGGGGAUGGGCUCGCGGCCUAUCAGCUUAUUGGUGGGGUGGUGGCCUACCAAGGCGGUGACGGGUAGCCGGCCUGAGAGGGUGGACGGUCACACUGGGACUGAGCCAAGGCCCAGAGUCAUACGGGAGGCAGCAGUGGGGAAUAUUGCACAAUGGGAGAAAGCAUGAUGCAGCGAAGCCGCGUGAGGGAUGGCCGCCUUCGGGUUGUAAACCUCUUUCGCCAGUGAAGCAGGCCUGUCCCUUGUGGGUGGGUUGACGGUAGCUGGAAAAGAAGCGCCGGCUAACUACGUG